GCCGGCAACAGGCCCGCCCUAACCUGAGGGCGGCUCCAGAACUGUCCUUUUCUUCACUGGCCCUGGCGCCGCUGAUCUUCCAAAGCUUCUCUCUCAUGACACCUCUUGGAAGUUUUCCGACUUAGACCCGUAGAGAAUUGGAGAACUAUGGACCCUCUCUCUAGAAAAAUGCUCACCCACACAGAAGCAGAGUUUUGCAUGGUAUUGCAGGGCGUUUUGAAACUUCUCAAGUGUCAAGACCGCCAACUUCAGACCUCUACAGGUGCCUGCGGGAGGAUGUCUGUUUUGCAAGAGGCAAAGGACAGAGGAGAUCUUAGAUGCUUGAAAAGCACAGGAGGAUUCUGAGAAGUGUGGACAGACAGAGUUAUGAUGCUGCCAGAGGAGUAACACCAUGCCAGGCAUUACUGGCCAAUGAAGACCCACCUGACAGCAAUCACUGGAUGCUCUGGAAAAGAAAUUGGGC